CACAGGAAUUUACCGUGAUCCAUCCUGCACCAACAAGACAAACCAUGCAGUGCUGGUUGUGGGAUAUGGUGGGCGUGCUGGACAGGACUUUUUGGCUGGUCAAAAACAGUUGGGCUACCACAUUUGGGGAGAAAGGCUACGUCCGUAUGGCCAGAAACCAGAACAACAUGUGUGGUAUCGCCUCAAGAGCCAUCUAUCCGGUUAUGUAGCUGAAAUCUAUAAAUAUAUCAUAAUAACAUUGAAUUUAUAAGUAAUUUUUUAUUUUUCUUUCUUUUUUGACUUGUAAAGCUUUACAGUUUUUUUCAACUGCUUAUACACAUUUUCAAAACUUUGCCUCUCUUUUUCAAAACUUUACACACAAAUUCAAGAAUUGCACACACAAAAUGCAAAAUGACUCACAUCUUUUGAAAAAUGAAGCACUGCAUUCAAAAUAUCACAAAAACAUCUCAAAAGCAAACAUUUGUCUUAAGUUGCAAACACCUUUGCCAUAAUAUUAUAUUUUUGGAUAUAUCAUAUACACACAGUUAUUCAAAACCUAAAGCUCUUCUUUCAUGAGCUCCUAUGUAUAUUUCUGUACAAGAUUAAAAGUAAUUGGCUGAGAGAUGUUGAAAAAUCCAUGGUAAACACGAAAGCAAGAUUGAAAACAAACUAUUUUUUUAAUGACAGUUACUGUAUGGAAAUGCAGAAGGCUGCACUUCAUAUAUAUGCCAUUUAUCCAUUUAAAGAGUAUAAAUUUACACAUUAUUGGGAUGCUGAUUGAAAGAGACUGAAUUAGAUUCACAGCUUAACAGUUACACUGACACAUUAAAACGUCAUUGUGACAGUAAAGAAAAAGACAUAUGGGCACAUAGGUGAAAAUACAAAAUUAGAAAUGCACCAAAGCCACUGAGAAAAACUGUAUAACUUGACCUGUGGCCUAUUUAUAGUCUUAUUCUAAAGCCGUAAUUGGUUGGUGUUAAGUAAAGCAAUGAGUGUUUGCACACGUGAGGGCUUAGUGUGAGGCACUGAUGAAUUAGUGUGGCAUUUUAAAAGGUUGUGUUGAAAAAAGGAAAUCAAGAUACUUCCUGUUAGAUUCUUGUGUGUUACAUAAAGAAUUGUGUGCUGUGUGUUGCAAAAGUGUUUUAAAAAUUAAAAAUGUUGUAUGCAGUUGAAAAAAAA